rnacentral:rRNA from 1 species
AACGCUAGCUACAGGCUUAACACAUGCAAGUCGAGGGGUAACAAGAGAAAAGCUUGCUUUUCUUGUUGACGACCGGCGCACGGGUGAGUAACGCGUAUCCAACCUGCCUAUAACUAGGGAAUAACCUUGCGAAAGUAAGACUAAUACCCUAUGAUUUCCUUUGAUGACAUCAGAUUAGGAAUAAAGAUUUAUCGGUUAUAGAUGGGGAUGCGUCUGAUUAGCUUGUUGGCGGGGUAACGGCCCACCAAGGCAACGAUCAGUAGGGGUUCUGAGAGGAAGGUCCCCCACAUUGGAACUGAGACACGGUCCAAACUCCUACGGGAGGCAGCAGUGAGGAAUAUUGGUCAAUGGGCGGAAGCCUGAACCAGCCAAGUAGCGUGCAGGAUGACGGCCCUAUGGGUUGUAAACUGCUUUUAUACAGGAAUAAAGUUAGCCACGUGUGGUUAUUUGUAGGUACUGUAUGAAUAAGGACCGGCUAAUUCCGUGCCAGCAGCCGCGGUAAUACGGAAGGUCCAGGCGUUAUCCGGAUUUAUUGGGUUUAAAGGGAGCGUAGGCCGUCUGUUAAGCGUGUUGUGAAAUGUAGAUGCUCAACAUCUGAAUUGCAGCGCGAACUGGCAGACUUGAGUGUGCGCAACGUAGGCGGAAUUCGUGGUGUAGCGGUGAAAUGCUUAGAUAUCACGAAGAACUCCGAUUG